rnacentral:lncRNA from 1 species
GGCCCAUGAACUUUUCUAAAUUACAUUUCAAACCCUAAACUUUCUCAAAAUUUCACUUUGACCCCUAAAUUUUCUAGAAAUUACAUGUUGGCCCUAUAUUUUCCUAAAAUUACAUUUUUACCCCAAAUGUUUUACGUCUUCUACAUUUUGGUCCUUCUGGGCAUGUCAGACCCCCCAAUCAGCAGUCGAGCGUGCUUCCCCUCACCUCCAGCUACUCCGGCAGAUGGCCUAGGCCAUGAUGCCCUCCUCUGCCACCUGAAGACAAGAAGAAAGAGGACAAAAAAUGAAGAGAUUAAAAAAGGAAAAUCAAAAGAGAGAGAGGAGCAUUCGGCAACCAAAGAAAAAAAGCAGAAAAAAAUUAAAAAAAUAAAAACAGCAGCAAAAACUCUCAAAUCGGUCGAUCCCGCACUCACCGCAACCGCACCCACGCCACCACGACCGCCGCGCCACGACCAUCGUUGCUCCCCACCGAAGUCAAGCCAAGAAACGAGCAAGCAUAAACAAAAGAAAGAAAAAACAGUAGCAAGAAAAAAAAGCAAAGAAGAAAGAAGAGAAGAAAGAAGAAGAAGAGAUGAGGGAAAGGAAAACGCCGUGACCAACGCCACCGAACGGAGGAGUCGACGGCAGCAGUGAACGACAGGGGAGAAACAGCGGCGGGCUAGGUUUCCAAAGAGGAAGAAGAAGAAAAAUAGAAAGAAAAAAGAAAAAAUAAGAAGAAAAGAAAAGAAAAAAAAGAAAAAGGAAAAAAAUAAUAAAGAAUAAAAAACAGCAGCAACAGAUUAGUGCAGAAUCAGCAGGCUGAUCCAGCAGCAGAAGCCCAAGACAGCAGGCCCACAACCCGCAGCAGGCCACUGCCCAGCCCAACUCCCAGCAGCUCCAGCAGGUUAGCUCCAGCAGCCCCAGGCCCAUUCCAGCAGCAGGCCAGCACCCAGUCCAGCAGUCCCAGGCCCGUUCCAGCAGUAGGCCAGCAGUCAACCCAACGCCCAGCGGCCCAAUCUGCAAAAAUAAAAAAUAAAAGAGGAAAAAGAAAAGAAAAAGAAAAAAGGAAAAAAGAGAAAAGAAAAAAAAACAAAAAGGCCCGAGGGCUUUUGGUAAUCUUUUUAUCCUCGUUUUAAAUUAAUCCGUACAUUUAAUUAUUGUUUCAUUUCAAUUUAAUUAGUAUUUUUAAGUAGCAUAUUUAGAAAUAUUAUCACAUUUAUUUUACUUGCAUUUUUAAAAUUAAAAAAUAUUUUAAUGCACAAGGCAACGAACUGAUUUAAUAUUAAGUCAUCAAAUUCAUCGCUAUGUUGGGUGAAUAUCGAUGGCUCGUGUUAAAUACGGGACGCCCUUUUUAAAAAAAAUGAAAAUAUUCAAAAAUUCUCGUGUUUUAAAAAAAAUUCUCGUGUUUUAAUAGGAUCACGAUUAAAUAUUAAAUUCAAUCGGUUUGACACUAAUUCUUCGAUUUCAUUGCCAUGUCGGGGUGAAUAUCGUCGAUUCGUGUUAAAUACGAUAUGUUUUUUAGAAAAAAUUCCCGUGUUCAAAAAUUUCGAGUUUUAAGAAAUUUUGAGUUUUAAAAAAAAAAGAAGAGAAUUUUGUGUUUUGAAAAAAAUUUAUCGUGUUUUUUUAAAAAAAAACACGUGCUUAAAAAAUUUUCGUGUUUUCAAAAAAUGUUCCGUGUUUCAAAUUUUCGUGUUUUUAAAAAUUUCUCGUAUUUCAAAAUUUUUGACUUUUUGCGUUUUCAAAAAAAAUAUUUUCCGCGUUUCAAAAAAUUCUCGCAUUUCAAAAACUUUCGUGUUUUUUUUAAGAAAAUUUUUCGUGUUUCUAAAAUUCUUACGUUUUAAAAAAAUUCGUGCUUUCAAAAUUUUUCGUGUUAUAUAAAAAAUUCAUAUUUCAAAAUUCUCGUGUUUAAAAAAAAUUUCGUGUUUAAUCGGAUCACGACUAAAUAUUAAAUUGAACUCGUAUUUUGAAAAUUAAGACAAUAUGCAUUUAACGAGAUACCAAUUUUGGGCGUCGCGAGGGUGGUAAUACCUUCCUCGCACGUAACUGACUCCCGAACCAUAAUUUUCUCUGGAUUUUAACGUAGACCUAAAAUUACCUCUUUUUUAGAAAAGUUUUAAAAUAAAUUUUUCUUCUAAAAAGAGAAUUUUGAAGGUGUCCGAUCACACCUAGAAAAAAGAUCAGUGGCGACUCCCUUUUUAAAUAAAAUCACAACUCUGUUUUUAAAUUUUCAAUAAUUACUUCAACUAGCGCCCGUGCCACAAAUUUUAGGUCGCUACAGCUGGCGACUCCACUGGGGACAAAUGUAAGAGUCGAGUCUGAUGUUAAACGCGUGUUGUCAAAAUUUUUAAAUUUCCUUGUUCAAAUUAAUUUUUAAUCAUGAUCCUUGAAUUUUAUUUUUGAAAAAAAAUCAUGUAUCUGCAUUCGGUUUUUAAAUUAAUGUUUUUCUAACUCGUUUUAUUUUUCUUUGUUUUUAGCUUUAAGUCUUAUGGUUUUAGUUUGUUUCUUAGUAAAAAUAAAAAUAAAAAGGUUUGUGAGUUUCUCCCCACACACCGUGCACUUGCAUUCUUGCAUAAAUGAGCUCUCUACCCGGGCUCCGUCCGUUUAAGUGGAAGUAAACGCUACGCCUUCGUGAGUUAACUCGUCCCUCCGCACAGGCUAGUGAAAUACUUCCGGGUUACAUAUGACUUAUGCUUUCGUGAGUUAACUCGUCCCUCCGCAUAGGCAUAAGUAAAUGUAAUCCCUCGAAUUGAGCUCGUGAGCCUGUGAUGGGUGAUGACCGAGGCUCCAUACUAACCUUAGUAGGUGACAGCAUGGACAAUUCGAGUACCUUUCUAGAACCAAAACCACAUAUAGUGAACCGUACGAGCCACCCAAUUAGAGCCACGCCGAACCUCUGUCCGUUUGAUAGUUACCAAAAUAAGUACACGGGAGAAACGUCUCUUACCUUUUAUUUCUUUUACAUUUACACUUAUUUACAAAUAAAUUGAGUCUAUUUAAUAAAUUGGGUCCGGUAGAUUGUUUGAUGAUAUGUGGGGUAUGUUUUUAUAAAGCAAGUUGGGGCAAAACAAAAAAAAAAAACAAAAAAAAAAUGUAGGUCUAUUCCUCCAAAUUGCAUGAUUGAAUAGCUUAAUUUAUUAAAUUUUCCAUGGUCUUUAUUUUUCUUUUUUUUCUUCUAUUUAUAUCUGUUGUGAUCUCUAACUAAAGUUAUUUGUUCUUCAUUUUAUUUUUCAUCAUGCAUUAUAGACAUUUUGUUAGGAAGGUGUUGAUUAAAGAUUGGUUGCCAAAAACGGGUUUCUGAUGGAGGAGUCAAUUACACGAGUAACCGAGAAAAAUGCUGUAGUCCGAGAUUGGUCUUUGAGAACUCAGAAAGCGAAAGGGGACAGUUUGAAGGAAGGAUACACCUCUGAUCUUCCCGAGCGUGUGACCUCGAAUGUGCGUCAGAAUGAUCUUGAAGACUUGACAAGGAUUUGGAAACAGUGGGACUCAGAUACUAAAGGCAUAUUCACUGAAAAGUAUGGGGAUAUAGCUCACUUGAUAGCAAUCGAUGUGAACGAGCAGUUGAUCCAAGCCAUGGUUCGUUUCUGGGACCCAGCCUAUUAGUGUUUCACUUUCAAUCAGGAAGACAUGACUCCGACCAUAGAAGAGUAUGCCGCUUUACUUCGCAUUGAAGAUGUACAAUUCAACAAGAUAUAUGUGAAGGAGCCUAAACCAAUGACCUUCAAGAAAAAGCUAAUGAAGUUGACGGGGAUGACUGAUACAUGGGCUGAAAAACAGAUAAAGAAGAAGAAUGAAGUCAGUUGUGUUCCGUGCUUUUCUCUUCGGGAGUUAGUUCAGAAUCAUACAAAUGUUUUGAAAAGAGUAGAUUUGUUUGCCUUGGCCGUUUACGGACUGGUCGUCUUCCCGAAAGUUUUUGGGCAUAUUGAAGCUGCGGUUGUGGAUUUCUUCGAAAAGUUGAGGCAAAGAAUCAACCCGGUCCCAGCCAUCUUGGCUGAGACUUUUAGAUCUCUAAAUGCUUGUAGGAGAAAAGGGGGAGGACGUUUCAUCGGAUGCGCUCAGUUACUUAAUGUUUGGAUUUUUAGCCACUUUUGGAAGGUGGAGCGCACACCUUUCCAUAUGUUCUCAACAAAUUUUGCUCCAUUAGAAGCACACCUUGAAAAGGAUUGGCCAAGGGAUGUCACUGAACAACACUGGGUCUCGGUUUUUCAGAACCUCCGUGCUGAAGAUAUAACUUGGAGAGCACCUUGGAUUCGCCCCUCUGUCUUGUUAUACAAGUGUGAGAACCAAGACUGGGUACCUUUGCUGGGAUUAUGGGGAGGAGUUGGAUAUGCUCCGUUGAUGGUUUAGAGACAGUUCGUUUCGCGACAAUUUGUACCAGUUACUGAUGGAUUGGCACAAUCGGAGUUUGCCUUUACGGGUGAGGGUUACAUGAAAAGGGUGCGAGAUACCGGGAAUUCUUGGAGGAAAAUUUACCUAAUGGAGUUGGCUCUAUAUGCUGAUACUAUCACUAUAGAUUGUGACAUAUAGAGGCAACGACGAGUGAAGAGCCAACUAACCCUGCCGAUUGACGUUGCUUGCAAGAAUCCGUUCUCAGAGGAAAUACCGUCCGAGCUAGAAUUGGCAAGACAUGAAUUUGAACGUGAAAAAGCCAAACUGUUACGAGAUAUUAGUUCCCUUGGAAAACUACCAGCUAAAGAUUGAGGUUCAAAUUGAAAAAUCCAGAACCGAGAAAGUCCAAAAAGAAGUUGAGGUCACGAGAAAGGAUUUAAGGGACCUUCAUUUGAAAAAUAAGAAAUUAAGAGGCACUAUAAGAAAUAGUGGAUUGGGCAAAUCAUCAGCAGAAUGGAAGGAGGAACUAAGUAAUAUCAAAGGUGGGAUGGAGUUCUGGAAAGCCAAAGCGAAGAAAGAAGAGGAAAGAGCUGCACGUGCUAUGAUAGAGUUGAGGAAGAAGAAUGUUGAAUACGAAACUGUGUCUGUAGAACUAACAGCUAGUCAGUCCGAGCAUCAAGAGCUAAAAGGAAAAAUUUGAAGUCUAGAAAGUAUACUGCAAGCUCAUCAGCAACAUUUGGAUGACCUCCUGAGAGCUUUAGAAGAGAAGAAUGGUCAGCAUGACAGAGACAUUCGCGCCUAUGAAAGAGCCCUCCAAGAAAAGGAUAUGCAUCUCGACAGUUUGAUUAAUGAAAUUCGUAAAGCGGCUGCGCAUGUAGUACAAUUAUCAGAUGAAGCGGAAGUUCUCAGUUGUCAAUACCCUCCUAGCCAAAGAUCAAGCAUAUCAGAGUUCCUGGAACGUAUAAAGAAACAAGGCGAUGUGGCUAAGAAGUUUGUAUAACUGUUAAAACUAAUAUGUCAAAACUUUUUGUAACGGACUCUUUUGAUAAAUGAAACGCCCAAGUAUGGGGCCAUUUUGGAAUCAACACCUAUUUUUGCAUAUUUACACAUGAUUAACAUUCAUUAGUUAUUCAUUCAUUUAUUCAUUGCAUGCUCAUAUCACCCUAAUCAUUCGCUAAGGUUAAAACCAUCUAAUCCACAAUUACUACACUCCGAGUCUGGAAUCACGUCACUCUUAUAGGACGCGCUUAAGAGCUAGAGCUAUGGAUGUCGAACUCAAUGAAAGGAUGGAAAUGAUGGAAAGAACCCAAAGAGAGUUGAAAGAGCAACUGACCAAGUCGCAGCAAGAGGCGAGAGAUUUGAUGGUGAGAUCUCAAGAGGAAUCACUCAAGCAAAGGGAUCAAAUGGCCAAGAUGAUGGAAAUGAUGACGGCAUUGGUCAAAGGAAAAGGACCUAUGCAGAGCCCUGAUAUCGUAGAACCGCCUCAGUCAAGAGCUACUCAAUAUCCACUUUAUCCCCCAAGAUUCACUCCACCUCAUAUCCACGCAAUGCAAAGAGGAUACCCCCAAAGGGAACCUACAGUCCUGGAACAAUCUCCUGUUCCAUCUGCUUAUCUAGGGCAAGGAAUGUUUGUAUCGAACCCUGGGGCUAAUCCCUCAGAUCCAAUUGUUCCAGACUUAGAUGAUCCUGUAGAAGUAGCAAGGCUGAGAAUUGAUGACAAUAAUGCUCAGGAUAAGUAUAGAAUUUUGGAAGAAAGGAUCAAGGCAGUAGAAGGUGCUGAAGUUUUCUCUGCUUUGAGUGCCAAAGAGCUCAGUUUGGUACCUGAUCUGGUUCUACCCCCAAAAUUCAAGGCACUAGAUUUUGAGAAGUAUGAUGGAAUAAAAUGUCCAAAGGCGGAUCUUAUCAUGUUUUGCCGAAAGAUGACUGGCUAUGUGAAUGAUGAUAAAUUGCUGGUACACUACUUUCAGGAUAGUUUGGUUGGCUCGGCUCUUCGAUGGUAUAAUCAGCUCAGUAGAGAGAGAAUCCGAUCAUGGAAGGAUUUGGCGUCAGCAUUUUGUGAGCAAUAUAGGCAUGUAUCGGAUAUGGUGCCUGAUCGAUUAACUUUACAAAUGAUGGAAAAGAAGCCUACAGAGACUUUUAGGCAGUAUGCACAAAGAUGAAGGGAUAUCUCGGCUCAGGUAGAACCUCCGUUAACUAAGACGGAGAUAACGGUCCUCUUUAUCAACACUCUGAAAGUGCCGUUUUACAAUAAGUUUGUGGGGAGUGCCACAAAAGACUUUGCAGAUAUUGUAAUAUCUGGGGAGCUUAUUGAAAAUGCCGUCAAAAGCUGGAGAAUGGAAGGCCCCGAGGGUUCGAAGAGGGCAGUACCCGUAAAGAAAAAAGAGGCAGAGGCCCAUAUGGUUGGAACCGAGAACCACUGUGCCCCCAAUUCGUAUCCUGCCCAAUCACGACCUCAUUAUCGCCCACCUUCAAACUUCUACUUUCCUCCUUAAGGUCCUUACUAUCAAGCACCUCCGUCUUACCCCGUUUAUGCUAUGAAUAGCCAAAGACCAUUCACCGUGUUCCCACCAAACACCAUGCCUACACAAAGCCAACCCAAAAAUGACCAAAGACCAAUAAGACCCAAUCCUGAAAGACCUCAGUUUACACCAAUUCCUGUAUCAUAUGGAGAAUAAUACCCGAAGCUGUUGGAAAAACAAUUAAUAUCCCCACAUUAUAUGGCACCCCUGAAACCCCCGUACCCAAAGUGGUAUGAUCCUAACGCGAGCUACGUAUAUCACGCUGGGAAUCAGGGACAUUCUACAGAAAACUACCUUGCCUUUAAAAGGAGGGUUCAAGGUCUCAUUGAUGCUGGUAUUCCGCGAUUCGAUGGUGUUAGCAAUGUGAUGGGAAAUCCUCUUCCUAACCAUACUGGCGGGAAUAUAAAUGCAGUGACAAAUGAAGACAAUUGGCAAGCCAAAGGUUAUGUUACCAAAGUAAGGACACCUUUGCGGAAGGUGUAGGAGAUGAUGAUUGAAAAUGACUUGCUCUGCCCGCCUAGUAGGAUUCUCAAAGAAGAAAGUAAAAAGGACCAGAGUUUCUGUGAUUUUCAUGGCAUCGAAGGGCAUGACAUCCAAUCUUGCAGGGAAUUUAGAAAAUUACUUCAGGACAUGAUGGAUAACUAGGAGGUCAAAGUCUUUGAUAGUGUGGAAGGGGCCGAGAAAGGAGAAAUAUGUGUCUCUGAUAAUCAAUCGAUGGCUUCCUCUUAUAGCGUCGAUAGACCUUUGGUGAUUUAUUACGAGGCAAAGAAGGAAGAAGUUAGUCAAGAAGUUAAACCAAGUUUGAUAAUCGAAGUACCUACUCCUUUCUCUGAUAAGGACAACAAGGCAGUGCCCUGGAAGUAUGAUGUCAAUAUCGUUGUGCCUAAAGGUGAAAAGUUAAAAGUUAUGAAUGAAGAUGUCAGUGGAGUAGGACAUUUCACUCACAGCGGAAGGUGUUAUUCUCCCGAGACGGUUGAACCAAAGAAGAAGGCUGCUGGCUCGAGCCAAAAAGGAAAAGCACCAAUGUAUGAAGUUGAGGAUGAUGUUGAAACACAACUUGAGCAAUAAGUUAAAAAGGCUGUGAAUGAGGAGGAAGCACAUGAGUUCUUAAAGUUUAUUAAGCACAGUGAAUAUAGCGUUGUGGAACAAUUAAACAAGCAGCCGACCUGAAUCUCAGUACUAUUUCUAUUGUUGAAUUCGGAGCCCCAUCUAAAAGUGUUAAAUCAAGCUUAUGUGGCGAACAAUGUAUCUGUGGAAAAGCUUGAUAGGUGGGCAAAUAAUAUGAAUGCAGAUAAUUUCAUCUCUUUUAGUGAUGACGAAAUACCGCCAAAUGGUAGGGGCUCCGUAAAAGCAUUGCACAUCACAACCAAUUGCAAGGGCUACAUAUUACCAAAUGUGCUUAUCGAUAAUGGAUCUGCACUUAAUGUUAUGCCUUUGGCCACACUUUCUAGGAUGCCGGUUGAUAUGUCCUACCUGAGGCAUUGCCAUUCUAUAGUAAGGGCAUUUGAUGGGACACGGCGAGAGGUCAUGGGAAAAAUCGAAAUUCCUCUAAAAGUGGGGUCAUGUGCAUAUGAUAUCGAGUUCCAGGUCAUGGACAUCACGCCUUCAUACAAUUGCCUUUUAAGAAGACCUUGGAUCCAUUCUGCUGGGGCAGUUCCUUCGUCUCUCCAUCAAAAAGUAAAGUUCAUCAUGGAUAGCCGCUUUUGUUGAGAAGCGAAGAUGGUGAGGAAGACAUUAUCGCAUCUAUCUCUACUGAUGCACCCUACAUCAAAAUAAGCGAAGAUGCUGUAGAAUGUUAUUUCCGCUCUUUGGAAUUUAUCAAUGCUGCAUUUGUUGCUGAAGGGAAUAAGAUCCCCAUUCCCAAACUAUCAAGGAAUACCAAGAUGGGAAUUAAGUUGACUGUGGGAAAAGGAGCUCGGACGAGGAAAGGUUUGGGAAAAUAUCAACAAGGGAUGGUUAGAGCUUUGAAACCGCACCACAAAGGUCGAUAUGGUUUGGGGUUCAAGCCAGAUAUACAUCAAAGAAGAAAACAAUUGCAGAAAGAUCGAGAAAGAAGAAUUGCGAGAGCUUCAGGCCGGGAAUUAGAAUGGGAGCCGUUGGCGUAUCCUCUUUUUUCAAGAACGUUCACAUCAGCAGGGGUGAUAUACCCAGGGCAGGACAAUCCGCAAGUCACAUUAUUGAUUGAAAAGGGUCUUCAGAAUAUCAGCCUAAAUGCUAUUGACAAUGAAAAUGAUGAAAUUAAGAAUGCUUCAAUGAUACGCCCUUGUCCUCCAGGAUAUGUUUUGAACAACUGGACUGCUGUGGACCUCAUUGUAGUUUUUAAGUCCCCUUCAGAGUAAUGCUCAAUGUUAACCCUUCAUUUUGUGUGUCCUUAAACAGUAGGGUUCCUUUUGUAAGAGCUUAUGUUUGCUCUUUAUCAUUUCAAUGAUCAUUAAUGAAGAUGCAUUUUGUUUUAUAUUGUCAUGUUCUUUUCACUUCCAUUAACUUCGCGACUACUCCUAUUCAUAUCCUUUUCCGGCAUAUGUCUCAUAUCAUCUCAUAUCAUUGUGUGUUGGUUCCAAUACCUCAAUGCUCUUUUAUAGCUUUUUUUUUCAUUCACCUUUCAGGUGCUCAGAUAUCAAUGGCAUGAAUAAUCCCGUCAUGAAUCCUGAAAUCAAUUUUGAGAAGGCUGUUUGUUUAGGAGAAUUCGAAGCUGACGAAAAUGUUGAAGAUUGUGUCUCGUCUCCUGACUUACUGAGAAUGGUAGAACAAGAAGAGAAACAGAUCCUACCCCAUCAAGAAUCUGUUGAGGUAGUGAACUUGGGGAAUGAAGAAAAGAAACAAGAAGUGAAGAUUGGGACUUCCAUUUCAGAAAACACCAGGCUGGAUUUGAUCGCCUUGCUCCAUGAGUACAAGGAUGUGUUUGACUGGUCUUAUCAGGAUAUGCCAGGGUUGAACACAGAUAUUGUGGUCCAUAAGCUCCCAUUGAAACCAGAAUGCAAGCCCGUUCAGCAGAAAUUAAGAAGGAUGAGACCCGAAAUGCUGUUAAAGAUAAAAGAAGAAGUUAAGAAAUAAUUUGACGCUGGCUUCCUACAAGUCUCCAAGUAUCCAGAAUGGGUAGCUAAUAUAGUCCCAGUGUCGAAGAAAGAUGGCAAGGUGCGAAUGUGCGUGGAUUAUCGUGAUCUGAAUCAAGCAAGCCCUAAGGAUAACUUUCCUUUACCACACAUCGACACUUUGGUGGAUAAUACGGCAAAGCAUUCUCUAUUUUCUUUCAUGGAUGGCUUCUCAGGUUAUAAUCAGAUAAAGAUAGCUCCCGAGGACAUGGAGAAAACUACAUUCAUAACAAUGUGGGGAACCUUCUGCUAUAAGGUAAUGCCAUUCGGACUAAAGAAUGCUAGGGCAACGUAUCAGAGAGCCAUGGUAACGUUGUUCCAUGAUAUGAUGCACAAAGAAAUAGAAGUUUAUGUCGAUGAUAUGAUUGCCAAAUCUCGGGAAGAAAGAGAGUAUGUUGGGAGUCUUAGGAAGCUGUUUGAAAGAUUAAGAAAGUUCCAGUUGAAGCUUAACCCGGCCAAAUGUACGUUUGGGGCUACCUCAGGAAAACUGCUAGGGUUCAUUGUCAGUGAGAGAGGUAUCGGAGUUGAUCCAGAUAAGAUAAAAGCUAUACAAGAACUGCCUCCCCCGCGCACACAAAAGGAAGUCAGAGGAUUUUUAGGAAGGUUGAAUUACAUUGCUCGAUUCGUUGCCCAACUUACCAAUCAGUGUGAUCCAAUUUUUCGACUCCUCCGAAAACAUAAUCCGGGAGAAUGGAACGAUGAGUGUCAAGUGGCUUUCGACAAGAUAAAACAGUAUCUAUCUAAUCCUCCGGUACUAGUACCGCCAACCCCUGGAAAACCCUUAAUAUUAUACCUGACCGUGUUUGAAAACUCAAUGGGUUGCGUACUGGGACAACAAGAUGAGUCAGGGAAAAGAGAAAAAGCGAUUUACUACCUCUGCAAAAAGUUCACAGAAUAUGAGGCAAAGUACCCGUCAAUUGAAAAAUUUUGUUGUGCAUUGGUCUGGGUAGUUCGAAGGCUCAGACAAUACAUGUUGUAUCAUACAACGUGGUUAAUUUCAAAGCUAGAUCCAUUAAAGUACUUGAUUCAAUCACCUGCACUCUCAGGGAGAAUGGCACGAUGGCAGAUCCUAUUAACUGAAUAUGACAUUGUAUAUGUGAGCCAAAAAUCGAUAAAGGGAAGCGCGAUAGCUGAUUUCUUGGCAAGUCGAACAGCAGAAGAAUACGAGCCUUGUCAACUUCCUUUGUUUGUUGCUUAAAAAAAAUGAAAUGAAUGUGAGGUAUUUCUUUCAUGCCUACUUUGUCUUUUUUUGCAUCUCGUGCUUUAUUCAUUUAAAUGAUAAAUAGUAAGAUGACAUAUUCUAAACAAAAUGAAUGUUGAGCAUUACCUGGAUGAGAAUUUAAUAAGUACGAGGGCCCCAAAGCAAGAACAAAGUUCAACAGGGGGCAAGAGAGUGAUAUACAAAGAAAUGUAGAUCACUUGCAAAACUUGAAGAUGAGUACAGAACCUGAAAGAAGGUCAAGAAUGGAGGCGAUGAAUGAAGACCCUCACGAAAGUCAGAAAGGGUCAUGUGACAAACAACCAAGAAUGCAUGGCAUGAUCAUGUAGACCUAAAAGCAUUUAGGACAAACAUGUGCAUAUCAUAAUAACAUCAUACAUGACAUAUACAGGUAUACCAAUAGAGCAAGGAAUUUUGGAAAAAAGCUGCCAGAAUCAACGAAGAAGAAGGUUUUUUAGUUUCACUUGAUGUUUUUGAAACCCUGUUUCUUUCAAGAAUUAUAUUUUUCAAUUUCUGUUUUUCAAAAAAAUCAGCUCAUAAUGCGAGAGGUGAGUUGAGCCUUGGGCCGCACGCCGAGGUAUUUUCAAUUUCUGUUUUUCAAAAAAAUAAUAAAAAAAUCAAAAAUCAAUCAACUCAUAUUCCGAGAGGUAAGUUGUGUAACAGCCCGAUUUUGGGUCUAGGUGGAACAGUGGUUCGGGACCACAAAUCUGACGAGGAAAUUUUAUUUUAAAAUUAUGACAUGGGUUGCAUUAUGAUAAGAAGGCUGCAUGAAAAUAUUGAUAUGAAAAUUUUAUCGAAUUAGUGAUUAAUUAAGGAAAUGACCUAUUUGUAUAAAAUGUAGAAUUUGAAUUCUAGAAGCUAGAAGGGUUAACUAGCUAUGAAAUUGUAAUAUCCCGAAAAUUUCUAUAGUAAGAAAGUAAGAUAAUAUCCCUGAUAUGGUAAAUUAAGGAAAUAAAAUGAUAAAAAGAGUAAUUGAGUUAUGUCAACAUUGGAACGUAUAUUAUGACAUAUUAAUUCAAGAAAGGAUUAAAUUGCAAAAGUGAGAAAAGUUUUGUUGCCUAAGAGUAAAUACUCAAAAAUUAAGGGGCUAAAGUAUAAAUAUGAAAAAGUUGAAGGACCAAUGGUGUAAAUAUUUUAAGGGUGGCCUGUUUUCCAAACUAAGGAAAAUGGACGGCUUAGGACCAUAUUGAAAAAGGUGAAGAAUUUUGAGGGACUAAAUUGUAAUUUUACCAAAUUAAGUGAUGACUCAAGGAUGGAAUUUUAAAAGAUCGUAAAGGGCAAAAUGGUCAAUUAGAAGAGAGAGAAAUCUAGAAGAUAAUGAUGAUGUUGGAGAUAUUUUAUAUUAAUUAAAUAAAUAUUAGUUUAUUAGUAUUUUAAUUUAAUUUUUAAAUGAUAUUUUAUUAUUUUAAUAUUAUUCUAUUUAGUAUAUAUAUAUAUAUGGAAGGAAAUAUGAAGAAUCAUCAUCUUCCCCAUGCAUUCCAACAUAUGAAGAGAAGAAAAAGAUAGAACUUUCUUUUCUUUACAAUUUGGUCCUUCCACCAAAAAUCUACCAUUCCACCUAGAAAUCAAAAGAGUUCGGUAGCCAUCAAGAGAGAAAGAUAACAAGGAGACUAUGGGGAGAUAGAAUAUCAAGUUAGAUUCAAGAAAUAGAAGCUGGAGGAGAGAGAAAAUCAAGUUAAAGAUUGAAAUCAAUUGAGCAAGGUAAGAACAUCAAGAUUUCAAAAUAUUUUUGAGUUUGAUAUUAUUGAAAAGGUAUGAAAUUGAUGUUAAUGUAGAGUUUUAUUAUAUAAGGUUUUAUGUUCUUGGUAUGUUAGUGAAGAGAAAAUAAGAGAAAGUGAUGAGAAAUAGUGUAGAGAAAGAAAAUAAGAGUGUUAUAAACUUAGUAAUCAAUAUUUUGCACUAAAACAGUUUGGACAGCAGCAGAAGGUCAACUUUGAAAAAUCACCAAAAAUUGUGGGAAUUGAAUUAGAAUAUGAAUAAAUUAUGAAAUUAAAUAUUAUUGAGUCUAGUUUCUCAUAGAAGAAACGGUGUAAGCAAUAGAAUUGUAAAUCAUGAGAUAUAAUAGGUUUUGUGAGUUAAGGUCAGAAUGAUUUCGGGUUCCCCUGUACUGAAUUUGGAAAAUCAUAAAAAAUUGGAGAAAAAUAAUUAGAGGCUUAAAUUUAUAUUUUUAAAUCCUUAAUGAGUCUAUUUUCAAUAGAAACAAACGGUAACAUCAUUCGAAUUCUGUACAAAGAGAUAAUUAAUUGUUAGUGAAGAAGGGUCGGAACUGUCAGACAGCAGAACAGGGAUGAAUUUAAAGAAUAAACUGUAUUUAUUCGCUAAACAAAAAAUUAUGAAAAUUUUAUGUCAAGAAGAUAUGUGAGUCUAGUUUCAGGGAAAAUUAACGGAUCUUAAUUUGGAUUUCUAUAGCUCAAGAUAUAAAUGAUUUAGUGACUAUGACUCAAAUGGACAGCUUUGAAUAAAUUUACAAGAAAAUAGUGAAAUUAUAGAUAAUGUUAUUUAUAGCAUGUUAUGUAAAUUAAGGAUGUGGAAUGGAGAGGAGGAGGAGGAAAAUAAAUGUAUGAAUAUUAUGUUAGCAUGGAUUUGCAUUUCAAAUGGUUAAUUUGCAUGAUUUGGGCUCAAGGACUAAAUUGAACAAAUGUGAAACUUUAAGGGUAAAUUUGUAAAAAUGUCAAAGUGACCAAAUUGUUCAUGAAUUAUUUUAUUAUUUAAAUUAGUAAAUUGAAUGAAAUAUUAAUUUAGAUCAAGAUUUGGUGGAAAUUCGAGAAAAUAGAAAAUUACCAAAAUGUCCCUAAAUUUUGGUAUUUCUACAAUUUAGCCUGGUAAGUUCGUAUGAACUAUAUUUUGUAUAAUUUUAAUUGGAGAGAAUGCUAUUUGGUAAUGAAUAUUAUAUAGAUAUGUGAUUUAUUAUUGUAAUUGAAUUAUUAUUGGUAAUAUGACAAUUAUUAGAUGUAUUGAAAUGAUUAUCGGAAUCUCGAUUGUGUUGGUAGGAAAUGUUGCAUUAUUUAUAUUGUGAAGAACUAUAAAAGCAUGUUAAUAAUUUGAAAGUUUUUAAUAAUUAAUGAAAUUUUAUUACUCGAUUUAAAAUGUUUACAAGUGUAUGUUUCAGUAAUGCCUCGUACCCUAAUCCAGCGUCGAAUACGGGUAAGGUGUGUUACAAGUUGAGCCUCGGGUCACAUGCCGAGGUAUUUCUUUUAAAUUUCUGAUUUUCAAAAAUCAACUCAUAUUGCGAGAAGUGAGUUAAGCCUCGGGUCACAUACCGAGGUAUUUCUUUUAAAUUUCUGUUUUGUUUUUUAAAAAAAAUAAAUCAACUCAUAAUCCGAGAGGUGAGUUGAGCCUCGUGUCACAUGCCGAGGUAUUUCUUUUAAAUUUCUGUUUUUUAAAAAUCAACUCAUAUUGCGAGAAGUGAGUUGAGCCUCGGGUCACGCUGAGGUAUUCUCAACUUCUGUUUUUUUUUAAAAAAAAUCAACUCAUAAUGCGAGAGGUGAGUUGAACCUCAGGUCACGCUGAGGUAUUUUCAAUUUAUGUUUUUCAAAAAAAAAAAUCAACUCAUAAUGCGAGAGGUGAGUUGAGCUUCGGGUCACAUGCCGAGGUAUUUUUUAAUUUUUGUUUUUUUCGAAAAAAUCAACUCAUAAUGUGAGAGGUGAGUUGAGCCUCGGGUCACAUGCCGAGGUAUUUUUUCAAUUUUUGUUUUUUUCAAAAAAUCAACUCAUAAUGCGAGAGGUGAGUUGAGCCUCGGGUCACAUGCCGAGGUAUUUUUCAAUUUUCGUUUUUUUUUUCAAAAAAUCAACUCAUAAUGCGAGAGGUGAGUUGAGCCCCGGGUCACAUGCCGAGGUAUUUUUCAAUUUUCUGUUUUUCAAAAAAUUAACUCAUAAUGUGAGAGGUGAGUUAAGUCUUAGGUCACGCUGAGGUAUUUUCAAUUUAUGUUUUCAAAAAAAAAAUUAACUCAUAAUCCGAGAGGUGAGUUGAGCCUCGAGUCAAGCUGAUGUAUUUUUAAUUUCUAUUUUUCAAGGGUCAACUCAUAAUCUGAAAAGUGAGUUGAACUUCGGAUCGCACACCAAGCUUUUUUCAAUUUCAGGCUUUCAAAAAAUAUAAAAAAUUGGACAAUCGAGCAAAAUUCAGUGCUUUUAAGUCUUUGCUCUAUCCCUGUUUCACAGCGAUGAGCAAAGAGGGGCAGCUGUAAUCAUUGAAUUUUGCCCAGUCAAAAUUUUGGGCCGGGUCGAUCUCGUAUGGGCCCAAUGAUCGGGCCCAUUAAGAUUUAAUUUUGGAAUUGUUUUAGCCCAUUUAAUUUUUGUUUUAAAUAUUAAUAAAAUAGUCAUAAUGAAAUUUUGAAAAAUGAAAAAAAAAACAAAACAAAAAAUAUAAAUUACAUUUUGGCCCCUGAACUUUUCUAAAUUACAUUUCAACCCCUAAACUAUUCUAAAUUACAUUUCAACCUCUAAACUUUCUCAAAAUUUCACUUUGACCCCUAAAUUUUCUAGAAAUUACAUUUUAGCCCUAUAUUUUCCUAAAAUUACAUUUUUACCCCAAAUGUUUUGCGUCUUCUACAUUUUGGUCCUUCUGGGCAUGUCAGACCCCCCAAUCAGCAGCCGAGCAUGCUUCCCCUCACCUCCAGUUACUCCGGCAGAUGGCCUAGGCCAUGAUGCCCUCCUCUGCCACCUGAAGACAAGAAGAAAGAGGACAAAAAAUGAAGAGAUUAAAAAAGGAAAAUCAAAAGAGAGAGAGGAGCAUUCGGCAACCAAAGAAAAAAAGCAGAAAAAAUAUAAAAAAUAAAAACAGCAGCAAAAACUCUCAAAUCGGCCGAUCCCGCACUCAUCGCAACCGCACCCACGCCACCACGACCGCCGCGCCACGACCAUCGUUGCUCCCCACCGAAGUCAAGCCAAGAAAUGAGCAAGCAUAAACAAAAGAAAGAAAAAACAGUAGCAAGAAAAAAAAGCAAAGAAGAAAGAAGAGAAGAAAGAAGAAGAAGAGAUGAGGGAAAGGAGAAUGCCGUGACCAGCGCCACCGAACGGAGGAGUCGACGGCGGCAGUGAACGACAGGGGAGAAACAGCGGCGGGCUAGGUUUCCAAAGAGGAAUAAGAAGAAAAAUAGAAAGAAAAAAGAAAAAAUAAGAAGAAGAGAAAAGAAAAAAAAGAAAAAGGAAAAAAAGAAUAAAAAAACAGCAGCAGCAGAUUAGUGCAGAAUCAGCAGGCUGAUCCAGCAGCAGAAGCCCAAGACAGCAGGCCCACAACCCGUAGCAGGCCACUGCCCAGCCCAAAGCCUAGCAGCUCCAGCAGGCCCAGGCCCGUUCCAGCAGCAGGCUAGCACCCAGUCCAUCAGUCCCAGGCCCGUUCCAGCAGCAGGCCAGCAGCCAACCCAACGCCCAGCGGCCCAAUCUGCAAAAAUAAAAAAAAGAGGAAAAAGAAAAGAAAAAGAAAAAAGGAAAAAAGAGAAAAGAAAAGAAAAAACAAAAAGGCC